GUUUGAUUGUAUUCUGUUUGGGUCUCAAAAUGGAUGACGUGGCAACAACUGAUUGGUAAAUGCUACUUGGAAGGGCGCAUCGGUAAUAUCCAAACGAAAGUAUAUGAUAUAGUCAAAGAUAUUAUAAAGCUCUCCGCCAAAUCACGAUCUGAUUCCCGAGUCGACUCAGAGAAGGCAACCGGAACAGCUCCCAAGAGGAAAUGAGGCGGCAGCACCAGCCUACGCAGGAGGAGAACAACAAGCGGUGGGGGAGCCUCAGGUGGGGCGCGGGGACUAGCUUCAGUUUUACACAGAUGAUGCUCCGGACUCAAGAUCCCUGAGCAUCGGUUCAUUUCUUUUGUUGCAAUUCUCCAUGUUAUGGGCAAGGUAUAUUUUUUUGCUAAGGAUUAGGAAGCCUUUAAGUAGCAACACUUUUCACAGUUGUGCUUUGCAGUUUUCCUUGUUACUGGAUUUGAUUUAUUCUAUCAGCCCGACUUUUCUUAAUUACGG